rnacentral:misc_RNA from 1 species
GAUGAAGAACGCAGCGAAAUGCGAUAAGUAAUGUGAAUUGCAGAAUUCAGUGAAUCAUCGAAUCUUUGAACGCACAUUGCGCCCGCCAGUAUUCUGGCGGGCAUGUCUGUUCGAGCGUCAUUACAACCCUCAAGCCCCCCGGCUUGGUGUUGGGGACCGGCCACCGGUGCCCUGCUGCUUCCGCGGCAGGCGCACCCGGCCGCCCCCGAAAUGAAUUGGCGGCCCCGUCGCGGCCUCCCUCUGCGUAGUAGCACACAUCUCGCAGCUGGAGCGCGGCGCGGCCACUGCCGUAAAACGCACCAACUUUUUUUACAGUUGACCUCGAAUCAGGUAGGAAUACCCGCUGAACUUAAGCAUAUCAAUAAGCGGAGGA